AUUGAACGCUGGCGGCAAGCCUAACACAUGCACGUCGAACGAGUGGCGGACGGGUGAGUAAUGUCUGGGACACUGCCUGAUGGAGGGGGAUAACUACUGGAACCGGUAGCUAAUACCGCAUACCAUCAGAUGUGCCCAGAUGGGAUUAGCUAGUUGGUGGGGUAAAGGCUCACCAAGGCGACGAUCCCUAGCUGGUCUGCAAGGAUGCCCAGCCACACGGGAACUGAGACACGGCCCAGACUCCUACGGGAGGCAGCAGUGGGGAAUAUGGCACAAUGGGCGCAAGCCUGAUGCAGCCAUGCCGCGUGUAUGAAGAAGGCCUUCGGGUUUUAAAGUACUUUCAGCGGGUAGGCGUUACCCGCAGAAGAAGCACCGGCUAACUCCGGGCCAGCAGCCGCGGUAAUACC
rnacentral:rRNA from 1 species